GGGACUUUGGAGCCUCAGGCAUGAGAAUCUGUUUGCAUAACCAUUAUGCUAUCGCCCCCCCCCUUUUAAAAAACUGAAAUUUAACCAAUCUCCCUCCUAUACCAAAUGACUUCUCUUAAUGACCUGUGAAUUUGAAAAAACAAACAAGCAAAAUUAGUCACUGUGGUCAUUCAGACAUUAUUUCCAAGGUACCAGCACUAUGGGCAAAGCCAGCCAAGGACUCCUUUGAAGCAGCUGCACCCAGUGACAACCUCCUCUUUGGAAAAUCCCCCAAGAGGGACAGGCAAGGCCUCAGCUCUUUUGGGAGCAGACACAGGAGAUGAAGGAAAAAAAAAAAAAAAACCCAAGUGAGUGCACGAGAGAUACAAAUGGAUCGUUUGGUGAAGAAAUCCGUCUUCGUCACUGCCGCCAGGCUGGGAUUAAUGCGAUUGAAGGCUCCUCCAGGCUCCGCCAGGGAGACGGGCUCAGGAAAGCAAGAGAAAUUGUUCUCCAGGUUUCAUCUGUUGAAGUGCUGCCAAGCACCUGCCCAAGCCCAGUGGUGCUCCUUCACCUGUCCUUUCCCUGGGCUGUCAGCUGGCAGAGCAGUCCCCUUCCUGGUGCACCGGAGUGUCCGCAUUACUCACAGGAGCUUACGGUUCACGGCUGCUUUGCACUGCAGAUAUUUGUGUUUGGCUUCAGUAGGAUCAUAAUAAAUGCUUACAGAAAGAA